AUCACCUCAGUGACAGCACAGGCUUGAGGUGUGUGGAGAGGUUUCAGAGGAGCCUCAUGUCCAGCUGAGAUGCUGUCAAUGGAGAUCAGAGGUUUCUAGCCACAAUCUCAUCAGAGCUAUGGAGAGACCUGGAGCUGCUGCAGGCAGUGGAAGUUUGGCUCUUGAUUUGCCCAUCUGCCUUUUGCCAUUACUGGUCUGCUUGCACCCUGGGAAGAAGAAUUCCAAAGAACAACUGUUUCCUGCUGGUGAUGGGCCACAUCAGAGAUCUGACCAUACCCAUCUCUGUGUGGCAAUCCAGUGAACAGAACCCAGGAUGUCUGUUUGGGCCUGCAGGCAUGGGGAUGGCAACUGCUGUCAGCACAAAGCUUGCUCUGAAUUAUCUUCCAAGUGCACCAAGGCAAUAGAUUUGCCAGGAAAAGUAGCCUGAUUGCAUGACCUGCACUCAUCCCAGAGGAAUGGAAGGGGCAAAAGAGGUUUGCUGUAUUGUGGGGUGGAAGUAGUAAUCAUAAGGAUAAGUGGGAUACGUCAGAGAAAAAAAUCAACAGAACAUCAUAAAAUAAUGUUCUAGGGAGGAUUCUGGGUAACUGGGAGUUUUACUUGGUCUGUGGUUUUUUUGGAAAUAUAGUAAACUAGGUCCCUCUAAAAAUAUUCCUCAUAAAAUCAAAAAAUGUUUUUACUUCCUAGCACAAAGUUCCAGAGACUUCCCCCUAUCAUGGCUUUGACAUAUUCCCAAGCAG